CCAGGCCCUCCGGGAAAGCACCAGGCCGCUCUCGGCAACUUCCUCGUUCCCCACGUGCUCUCUGCAAAGCCAGCUCAGGACGUGGGGAGCUCAAAUGUCAGACAGUGGGAGCUGGAAGCCCCCGAGGGAGCCCGAGGAGCCAGGCCCAGGCGAGGGGAAGGGACGUGCCCACACCAGCCAGGGAGUGGGUGGCAAGACAAGAGAAGUGAGGCGACGACUGGCCCCGGGGAAAGGACAGAUGGGCAUCCUCUCCGGUGGAAAGCUCGGGCGGGGAUCCUUCCCGAUUUCCCCGAUCGGAUGCCAAGCUCCAGGCCCACCCGUCCUCCACCCAGGCGUCCGUCCCUGCGGCAGGAGCCCCUUGCUGAGUCUCACACCCAGGCUCCGGGCCCAGAAACUGGAACGCUUCCUCUGCAAUCCUUGUAAGUGUAUCCAGGCCGCCGUGAUUCCACUCGGCCAAAGACCAUAUCCGUUUCCACCACAGCGAGCCGAAAGAUUCCACCAUUUUUAGCUGGGCCCUAAAUCAAGAUGAUGUUUCCCAGCCUGCCUGGCAGGUGCACGUGGCCAUGUGAUUAAGUGAGAAGAAAGUGAAAUUGUCCUAUGGCUCUUUUUAGGAACCUUCCUUAAAAGAUGGUGAAUGAGCACCUUUUUCUGUAUGCCUUCCUCCAUCUACCUGCCAGUAACAUGAGCGUGAUGUCUAGAGCGCCAGCUGUGGUCUUGUGCCACGGGGAUGAUCCUGGCCCUGGAUCCUAUUCUACAUUCUUUUUCUUUCUUUUUUCUUGCCUACAAAUACCUCAGUCUGUGAAUCAGCUUCAUCAUCAUACUUAAAUGGGUUCAAUAAGACUUUGACUUAUGUUCAUUCUAUAUUUUAUAAGAGCCCUUUUUAAGAGAAGUUUAAGGGAUAAACUGAAAAGAAGCAUGAGUCCCUGGGGGCUGGGCCAAGUACCACACAAACCCUGGGCUUCCGGCCUCCCAGCUUUCACAUGAGAGAGAAAGGACCAGUUGUAUGAUGCAAGCCGCUACUUUUUUGGAUCUCUGUUGCUUUCAGCCAAAUGCAGUCCUAACUGAUAUGGCACAAAGGAGGAAGAUGGAGUCUCCGGGGCAAGGUUGGCCUUCUUCACAGAAGGGCCUGGGGAUGGCCUUGAUUCGAAGAACCAACCAGAAAGGCCCUGGAGAACCCGGCAGUUGGAACUGUUGGGGAGACAGAUGUUGAAUGGGUUCUAUCAGCCAUGACUCGCCCUGACUUGCAUCAUUACACCUUCUUUCGGGUCUGCCCUGCCCACUGAGUUUACGGCAUUAAUAGGAGCUGCCUGCCAAGACAUCAUGGUUCCACACAUGGGGGAUCCCCAAUCUCCCCUCUUUUCGGUACAAAGAAAUGGUGUGUCACCAAAACCGUAAUGAGAAAAUCUGUCAAGCAGAGUUCACUUCUCAGGGAGCACGUGGAGCAAAUACCUUCCAUCCUGCCCUGCUGGGCUUUGUCCCUCGGCCGUGCAAGAAUGGAACACGUCGAUCUCUUCAACACAGACUGACAAGGCGAGGUGCAGAGCCCCUGAACUGGCUGGAAAUUUAAAAUCAGCUUCACCCUCUCCUGAGCCUCUGGAGAAGGGGAAGGAUAGGCAUCCCCUGCAGAUGUAGUGCACACUUCAGAGGUCCGGGUGAUGACAUCAGUUGGUGGUGUGUGUGUGUGUGUGUGUGUGUGUGCAUGCUACACACGUGUACUUUGAGACUGCUUUUUUUUUAAAAAAAAAAACAUUUUAUUUAUUUAUUUAUUCAUGAGAGACAGAGAGAG